AAUAGCAAUGUCCUUCGACUCGAUACUGGAAAAUGGCGAUCUGCGAGGUUGUUUGAAGCUUAAUUUCGAUAAACACACUCACGGACUCGCAACUCGUUGGUUAAAUGUGCCCUGAAAAUCAUGUGACCUGGACUGUGUGCGAUGGCGAGCAAAGAGAUAAUCGGCCAUCAGCAGCAGUUCGUUGAGGAAAUCGAUUAUAAUGAAAUCAAAACUGAGCAGGUAGUAGGCAAAGGUUCCUUUGGAGUCGUCUGGAAAGGACGGUGGAGAGGACAAGAUGUCGCUGUGAAACACAUAAAUUCGGAAGGAGAAAGAAAAGCCUUCACCGUGGAAGUUCGACAACUAUCCAGAGUUGCCCAUCCCAAUAUUGUUAAACUGUACGGUGCGUGUACCAAAAAUCCAGUAUGCUUGGUUAUGGAGUAUGCAGAAGGUGGAUCAUUGUAUAAUGUACUGCAUUGUAAUCCGCAACCGCAUUAUACUACUAGUCAUGCUAUGAGUUGGACUCUUCAGUGUGCACGCGGAGUUGCGUAUCUUCAUAAUAUGAAACCAAAACCAUUGAUACACAGAGAUCUAAAGCCACCUAAUCUGUUAUUAAUUAUGGGUGGACAGAUGCUUAAGAUCUGUGAUUUUGGCACAGCCUGUGAUUUACACACAUACAUGACUAAUAAUAAAGGGUCAGCCGCAUGGAUGGCACCAGAAGUAUUUGAAGGAUCUAAAUAUACGGAGAAGUGUGAUGUAUUUAGUUGGGGUAUUAUUUUGUGGGAAGUUUUAGCACGUCAAAAGCCCUUUGAUGACCUUGCGCCAUUGGGCGUUUCAGCCUUUAGGAUAAUGUGGGCUGUUCAUGUAGGACAAAGGCCUCCUUUAAUAGAAGGAUGCCCGAAACCAAUCGAAGAUCUUAUGACCAGAUGUUGGCAGAAAAUACCUGAGGAAAGACCUUCCAUGGACGAGGUAGUAAGGAUAAUGACCAAGCUAUCAGAAUUUUUCAAUCCCCAUUUAGAACCUAUUGAAUAUUCUUUAAGUAGCGAAGCUGAUAAUAUAGAUGAGAAUGAUGCAUCGAGGGAAGAUACAUUAGAUAUAGCCAGUACAUUAGAUUCUGGGAUGAAUGGUUCCGUUGCAAACGGUACUAUUUGUACAAUUCCAAAGCCCUUAGAAAAAGCUAACAAAUGCUCUAAUAUAGAGAAAUCAUUGCCUUUUGAAUUAUAUCACGCAACGCCAUUCGGCGACAUGCCGAAAAGUUUCUCGCCACGACCAAAUAAUUUAGAGUUUCGACGAGUGCCUGACGAGUGUCCGAUAUCGAAUAAUCAUUUUCCUGGGAAUGUGGAUAGUAAUUUAGAACACGCCAAAUCGUCGAUCUCGCAAAAUGCAGCAAUACCGACGGCAUACGAUGACAAGUUCGCCGCGCUACAACGCACAAAUUGCAAUUUUGCUCCGUUACAUGUGGAGUGCGAUCCGCACUCUUGGGAUUUACCGAGCUCUUCUGAAACAUCUUGGGAAAUUCCAAAUAAUAUGGCCGGAUUAGAUAAAGUGGUACAGAAAACGAAGAAAAAUAUUCAAAGUAGCAGCACUACGAGCGAAGAUUUGGGUAACGUCUGUCGCCUGUUGGACGCCGACCUGAGACCUCUUACGCCCGAUGACACGUGCAAACGUUCGCGAGAGAUCUUCGAGGAGCACAAGCAGAUAGCGCAGGAGUAUCUCAAGGUGCAAACGGAGAUAGCGUUGUUGAGCCAGCACAAGAACGAGAUGUUGAAGAAUUUGAGUCUCGACAGUCUUAGACAACAGCAGGAGUUGCGAGAGCUCGAAGAUGAAAAGGAGUCAUUGCUGAAACUAUGUUACAACCUACAGCGGCAAUUGGAGAUCAUGAAGGAUCAGAGGAUCAAGGGAGCGUUGACGAAUGCCGCCGCUGCCGCCGCCGCUGCUGCCGCUGCCGCGCCAACGAUAGGACCCGCCGUUUCCGGAAACAACGGUUGGGUGGUGGUACCGCGUCCAGACCCGUCGAGGCUCUCCUGAGGUUUCACGUGUAUCCAAGGGUCUCGACAAGAAUGUACUUACAUGUCAUGUUCUGCGAUCGGCCGGCAAUGCGUGACACGAAUGGAAUCAUACACAUUGUAAUUCCAAUUCAAUCUUACGCGAAUACAAAUCGCGUCGCUUACUACCGAUAAAGUCAUGGCUACGCGAAUCUGUAUGAUUAUCUAGCGAAAAGCGAUCUGACUUUGUCACUGGACUGGGUAUCCAGACACGACGAAUGGAGACUGUGUAAUUGACUUCCGAUCUUGCAUGGUACAUCUGAAGGCGUGGUAUCAGAUACACAUUUAUAAUAUUCAGAUCAAACGAAUUGUGAAGAUAAAGACGCUGUUUAAAUCGUAGUAAAUUAACGUGCAGGAGUGUUUCUGUUUUUAUCGAAUCAAAUAAAGGACUGUCUGUAAUGCGAGACAAAUAUCAAGACAAAUUGUUACAUGUAUAUAUAAAAAAAACCAAAAUAGAGCGCAAGAAAAAAAUGUCGAUAAAAAAAUUCUCGCGCAUCAAAAUCCCAGUUCAAAAAAAAUCUUGGACUUUUGUUGUUUUCCGCGUCCCAAAAUAUAUAUAUUCCUAUAUUUUAAAUAUAAAGUCUCUCAGAAUUCCCAUCAUUUCACGACUAAAAAGGGAGAUGAAGAUGUACAACAAAGUAAUUACAUUCAGACAAUUUUUUCAACGAGUUCCUUCCCGAGAAUCUGUAAAUUGUUACCUGAGCUUUAUGUGAAUACACAAUAUGUAUAUGUACAAAUG
rnacentral:misc_RNA from 1 species